UAGCGGAAUACAUACUUACUGCGAAAAGCUUCAAAUAAAAUUGGGGCGAGGGCAGUAAGGUAGACAGUUACAAAAUGCGGCAUAAGGGCCUAGUCAUUUUGUCCUCCGUGAUUAGGACAGGUUACUUAAUAGUGAGUACGCAGUAUUAGUCUUCACACUACGGCCGGCAGCCGUGGCAUCGACACGGGUGCCAAGGAGAAGGCCGAUCGAUUCUAUACGCAUCGCCAAAAACGUAAACAAACGUUCGAUAGCUGAGUCAGAGUGAUCAUAUAAUUUAUUUGUGAAAUAUUUUCAGUAUAAGAACUUCAAUUAGAACGCAAGACCUACAAGAGCUUUCAAUCUACUUUUGAAGGGACGUAUCUUUUACUCAAUAUUUUUAACCAUGAGUAAAAUUGCUACUUAUGUAUUUUUAGACGUAGCGACAGACGGCACAUUUACAAUUGCAGAACUGUGUAUGAUAGCAGUGAAACGAAAGCACAUUGAGCUACGAGAGAAGGAACCCCGAACUCAGAACAAGUUCAAACUGUGCUUCUGGUUCCGCGAUUAUAAUGAAAAAUAUACAAGACCAGAAUCUUUCAAAGAAGUAUUUUAUAUAGAUGAAAAAUUUAAUGAGGAUGUAUGCAACUCUGUGAACUCCUUUCUCAGUUGUCUGGAAAAACCUGUUUGUAUCAUUGCCCAUAGUGGCUUCGAUCUUCAUUUCCCAUUACUGAAAUACAGAUUUAGUAGAUUUAAAUGUUCGUUGCCAGAUGAUCUCAUGUGCACUGAUAGCAUUUACGCCUUUUAUGACUUGAUGGCACUAGAAGACAAACAACUUAGUAAAAGCUCUCGUUCGAAACGUAAUAAACCUGGUGUUAAGCUGUACAAAUAUUUGGUACGGAAAACAUUUUAUGAUGGUUCUUCACCAACAGAAUCCUACGAAUUAAGUGAUAUUUACAACAGAGUAAUAAAUGGCGAUCUCACACCAGACGAUACAGAGAAUCACUGUAAAAUGAUUAUGCAGUUAGCAAUCGAGAAAAGUAAAGAGUUUGUUACGUGGGUAGAAGGAAACCACUGCCGAUUGUCAGAGGUUCCCCGUUUCGGGUCAUCAUAAGAGGCACUUCUUUAUAUUUUUAUUCUAUGAGACACGUAACUAUCAACCCGGACAACAAGCGUUUUAUAAAUAAAAAUAUAUAUUUUAUUUUUAAAUAAUCUUUUUUUCUCUCUCUGAUAGCUAAAUUAUCCUUUAUACCGCCUCCAGGCAAAACUCCAUUACUUACCUAUUUUCGUUUCGUUCAGUGUAUUGAAUACGACCUACUUAAAAGUGGUUCCCAUGACAUGUGGACGAAACCGUGGGAAAUACUUAGCUAGUGGUCUCGUAAGCGGAAGAUUCAUCUUUUUCCGUCAAACUAGUAUUAGUAGUGAAAUGAAGAAAAAUUUUCUGUAGCAUAUCGAAUAUCUAAUAUUAGUACUAUUUGCUCUAUUUAAUUAUGUAGGUGUACGGAUGAGAAAAAAUUUUGGUAAACCAAUAAAUAUAAUAAAUAAAUGACGAGUGCCAGUGACAACGAGGAAACCACUGAGCCAAGCUUCAAAUAAAAUUGGGGAGAGGGCAGGAAACAGAAAAAGGGUAUUAUAAAACCCAGUAUUAGUCUGCACACUACAGGCAGUAGCCGUGGCAUUGACACCGGCAGUCGGCACCAAGAAGGGCGAUCGAUUCUAUAGCUACGCAGCGUCAAUAUAAACAAAAAGUUCAUUCGUACGGCCCAGAUAGUUGAGUCAGAGUGAUCUAUAGGUAGUGUGUGGUUGUGUACUUGUGCUGUGUCUGGUGGCUACAAACUAAAUAGGAAUCACGUUUAAAACAACAUAUUAUUUAUUAGUGAAAUUCGUCAGGAUAAGAACUUAAAUUAGAACGCAAGAGUUACAAGAGCUACCAACCUACGAAGAGACUGCUUCCCACUCUUAUUUAAUAAUGGGUAAAAUAGCUACGUAUGUAUUCUUAGACGCAGUGACAAACAAGGAAACAGCUCAAUACAAAGGUGAAUUAAAAAUUGCAGAACUAUGUAUGAUAGCAGUCAAACGAAAGCACAUUGAGCUACGACAGGAGGAACCCCGAACUCAGAACAAGUUCAAAAUGUGUUUCUGGGUUUAUUAUAUUCACGACGAUGACUAUUCUCGACGCGCUGGAUUAAGUUCCAUAGAUAUGAGAAACGAGGCAAAUUUCAACAACGAUGCUUUCAACGCUAUUAACUCCUUUCUUAGUUGUCUGGAAAAACCAGUUUGUAUGAUUGCCCAUGAUGGUUUUAAAGUUCACUUCCCCGUGCUCAAAUAUCACUUUCAUGACUUGAGAGUUUCAUUGCCAAAUGAUCUCAUGUGUACUGAUAGCAUUUACGCCUUUUAUGAUAUAAUGGAACCAGAAACCAAAGGAGGUACUAAAAGUUCUCGUUCGAGACAUAAUAAGCCUGGUGUUAAACUUCAUAAAAACAUGGUACGAGAAACAUUUUACGAUGAAGAACCAAAAGAAUCAUACAAAUUAUGUGAUAUUUACAGCAGAGUAAUAAAAGGUGAUCUUACUCCUUACAAUGCAGAGAAUCACUGUCAAAUGAUUAUGAAACUAGCAAUAGAGAAAAAUGAUGCUUUUGUCGCGUGGGUUGAACGAAACCACUGCCGGUUUUCUGACGUGCCCUAGUAUUUCUGCAAUACAUCCUACAUGACAAGCUGGGCUAUACUGUUGUAAAAUUGUUUUGAGCCAGAAUAAACAAAAUCAAGUUUUGUGCCAUCCAGUCUAAAGCACACAGUUAAUAAACAAGAAGACUGAUAUCAUAGUUUAAACAAUGGGUAAAAUAGCAACGUAUAUAUUCUUCGACAUACAGUCCAACGGCUAUCCAGGACCAUGUCACUGGGAAGUGCAAAUUGCAGAAAUAUGUAUGAUAGCCGUAAAAUGAAUGCAUGUCGAGGCACGCGAGGAACAACCGCGAACUCUCUACGAACGCGAACGCGAAGUCUGAAACACAUCUUGAACAAGUUCAAGAUGUGUUUCAGACUUCGUUAUGUUAUUGCAGACAUUGUGGCUUUGCGCAGUGGAUUAACCAAACCAGUUUUGAAAAACGAAGCUGAAUUUAACGAAGAUGUCUUCAAUAUUAUCAACACCUUUAUAAGUUGCCAAGAAAAACCCGUGUGUAUGA